GUUCUCGGGAACAGCGGCUCGGCCUGCAAGGCUGUUGUUUCAAGAAAUGAAAAUGAAGGGCGCCCUGGAAUAGGUUCGCCGAAGAGAGAGCUUGCAGGCCUCUGGGAAGCAAGCCAUCGUGUGGCAGAGGCCCAGGUGGCAAGGAACCAAGGGCGGCUUCUGGCCAACAGCCAGCGAGGACCUGAGACCGUAGCCCAACACCCCUCCAGGAACUGAAUUUUGCCAGCAACCAGUGAGUGACCUUGGAAGUGGAUCCUUCCCCCGAAAGCCCGGCUUUCAGGUGAAGGUUAUUCGUUGAACCAAUAAUCUCUGAAAUUUUUGGAGUUCCAUGAAGCUUGCACCAACUAUUAUCCCUGAGAUGACCUUGGCUGUGGAACCCAGAUUCUGUUCAGGGCCGAGAGCGCCACCUGGUGAUUCCAGUUUACGGAGGCUGGUGGGACCUCAACCCCAGCUGGUAUCCAGGCUCUUGACACCAUCUGGAGAAGGAAUUCAAGAGUGUGUCAGAAAAUGAUGAAAGUACAAAGAUUUAUUGCAAAGCGAAAAAUACACACUCAAGAAAGGGGAGUAUGGGUGGACUCAAGACAGAGUCCGAUGGGACUUGGGGUUUCUACCUUUUGGGUUUCUUUUUUUUUUUUUUUUGAUAUGGAGUCUCGCACUGUUGCCCAGGCUGGAGCGCAGUGGCGU
rnacentral:lncRNA from 1 species